rnacentral:rRNA from 1 species
AGUGAACGCUGGCGGUAGGCCUAACACAUGCAAGUCGAACGGCGGCACAGUAAGAGCUUGCUCUUACGGGUGGCGAGUGGCGGACGGGUGAGGAAUACAUCGGAAUCUACUUUUUCGUGGGGGAUAACGUAGGGAAACUUACGCUAAUACCGCAUACGACCUACGGGUGAAAGCAGGGGAUCUUCGGACCUUGCGCGAUUGAAUGAGCCGAUGUCGGAUUAGCUAGUUGGCGGGGUAAAGGCCCACCAAGGCGACGAUCCGUAGCUGGUCUGAGAGGAUGAUCAGCCACACUGGAACUGAGACACGGUCCAGACUCCUACGGGAGGCAGCAGUGGGGAAUAUUGGACAAUGGGCGCAAGCCUGAUCCAGCCAUACCGCGUGGGUGAAGAAGGCCUUCGGGUUGUAAAGCCCUUUUGUUGGGAAAGAAAAGCAGCAGGUUAAUACCCCGCUGUUCUGACGGUACCCAAAGAAUAAGCACCGGCUAACUUCG